rnacentral:lncRNA from 1 species
CAGGCAACUGUCCUAUUGAUGUUUGUCUCUUAAACGGCUAAAAGGUUCUUUUGGUUUGUGUCUGUUUAUCAUGGUCGAUAAGCCUCUGUAGGAAUUAAUGAAUGGAUUUCUUUCGGUGGACUAGUCUUUACACACAAAUUUUCGUUUUGGUGUAUGUUCAAAAGCCCUUAUCUCUAUCAGUUCUUUUGCUACCUUCAUUACAUCUGCUUUAUAUUGUGGUAAUUUGUGGAAUCCUUUUCGUUGUCGGAUUUCUGAUAUUAUAUCAAAGUGUUUGAUGUAGUUUUAUCAAAUGUGGAUAUUGCUUUGAGUGUGCAAUAAUGCUUUCCUUGGUUUGGUGACCUGUAACUAUGUCC